CAGAGGGGUGGGGGUGGAUGCACAAUGCAGCUGUGCAAUGCACAUGACCCAGUACAAUGAUCGGAAGCCAUAUGGGGGGGGUUCAUCCGAGGGUCACCAAUGUAGAAAAUAUGUUCCUCACUAACUUAGCACACUUAGCCCUGUAGUACACUAGUACAUCUGAGCAUUAGUGGAAAAAAAGGCAAACAGGACACAGAUAGUACCUUUGACUUUUUAGUUUAUUUAUUGGGGCAGGACACAAGUACAUAAAAAUUAACAGGGGACAUUAACACAGUAAAAUUACUUAGCAAUAAAGAUGGACACAGUUCCUAUAGCAGACAGUAGCCCAACAAAACUGAAGGUUUCAGGGACUGGCAAGUAAUGAAUCAUAAAAGUUGAAAGUUAUAGACAGCUAUUCCAUACCUAGCAAAUACAAGAAAAGAAAGUUUGUGGACAUGCACAUGGUAGACUAUGGCAGUCAGGCACUUUACAGCACACUGACCACUGUGAUACAAUCAUCACUGAGAAUUCUGUGGUGCAGAAGCAGCCUACUGAUCCUGUGAAGCUGGGGGUAGCAUGAAAAACAUCAAUGUCGAAUUGAUCUGUUUGUUCAAAAUUCUCAGGCUUUGUAAAUGCCCACAAUCAGCCAAUGUGUACAAUACAGACAUACCAGUGUUAGCUUCUCUGCAAGUGUAUAUGUCCAGAAUAUUGUCACUGCACAUCAUGGCAAGUCGCAUCUUCAAAGUCACACAGCACAAAAGACAUUCACUGUAAAACACUACCUUGCUCGGACAAGCAUGUCAAUCAUUUGAUGUCAGCAUGGGAAGUACGAUUCAGGGAGCUCUUUCUGUCUCAUACUUCUCUCCAGGAAAACUCCCCUGGGCUGCAACAAGGCAGAGCAUGGCAGAGAGAAGUUCCACUACUUCAGUCCGCUUUGCUCACGGCCUAUCUGCAUCAUCUGCUGUUGUCAUCUGCUAAACCAGAUGAGUGGUGAGUGUGCCUGCACUGUAGCACAUCAGCAUAAAAUCAUACAAUGUGAUAGUCAGGAAAGUUAGCUAGACGCAAAACUUCACUGAUCCAUACCGAGAGAACAAAAAGAUUCAGAUUCUUUGUAGGCACUGUAAGACUGUAUUUCAUCUUUUGGCUGGGAUGAACGUGAAUUUCAUUUAUACAUAUGAACACUUAAAACAUACCUUCACUCAAGAAUAUCAGGCUCAUAAAACCAAGUGAAGUUUUGUUGGUGAUGCAGAAAUGGAAAUAUUUAUCUAACUGCAAAUUCAACUAGAUUUUAGGAUGUUCGCAAGUAUUCCCAACGUGUAUACAGGCCUGCACUUAGGGUCUCUUAUUGAUUGGAAUAGUACAUCUAUUUCAUAAUUUUCACACCACAUUUGGUAGCAGUUUCCCAGAGCCUUAUUGCGGCUUUGUGUAGUUGAAGUGUGGACUCAUUUGCCAGUAACAGGUUCAUAUAUAUGUAAGGAUAAUAUGAUUUUGCUUUAUAAUCUUACAGAGAACAAUGAGUAGAUAAAACAGUGCAUCAAAGGACUGUGUCACAAGUGUGGAAAAUUACAUUAUAUGAAAUAAACAGGUAAACUGCAUCAUUUCAAUUAUUUCAACAUGAAGUGUCACAUUUUAUGUACUAGCUGCAUCCUGAAUUGCAUGUUCCUGCUGGUGGAUUAGUUUUAUACUAUCAUUUGACUUUAUGAGCCCAAUGUUACUGAGUACAGCAAUAUACUACAUUGACAGGAAAUGAAAUUAAUUUCCAUUUCAGCUGAAAGUUAAAAUACAUUCUUAUAGUGCCUACAGAGAAUUUUAAUCUUUCUUUAAUGUUUUUGAUGUGGAUUUGUGAAGUUGAUCACUAGUGAACCUUUGUAUCACAUUAUAUGCACUCAAUCAGCACAAGUACUUGCAGACUGUUUAUGCAGUAACUCUUACUUUAAACCCACAAUUUCAUUUUUGUGGUUGGUAGUCACCCAUAACACAGUCACAGUGCAAAAUUCAGGCGAGUUGUAACUGGUGAUAUGUCAGGAUAAUAUUUUAUUGUGAAAGUCAGUGGAGUGAGUUAGGUCAAGCUACUGGAAAUGGAUUACUUGGUGGUAUCAUAUAUUUUAUCAAAAGCUGUGAUUGGUAUUGUGAAAAGCUGUAAUGUACUUAUAACUAUUGAGUUAAUACAUUGUCUCUUACACAUAAUCAUUGCCAGUCAUGUAGUUUACAGCAUAAUUGUGCAGUAAUGCAGAUGUGUAAUAACAGGGUUUUUUUUCUUGUUUGCAGUGGAGUUAUUGUUUCAGUUGACCAGUUAUAUAAGUGGUGGAUUGUGCUGUUUCCAUUGUACUACAGAAGACAUGGAAGUAUAUAUAUUCAACAGUGCAGACAUUAAAUGGGGCAGCUGAGUACACACUGAACGAGAUUAAGAUGCUGUUCUCAGUAUUCUCAACAGUCCAGCUAUGGACAUUAUUACUGAUAAUGAUCCAUGUGGUCUGUCGCACACUCUAAGUGAUAAAGGGUGGAAUUGUUUGUGAUGCAGAAAUAAAAAUAUUUAACUAGUUACAACUUCAAACAGAUUUUAAGGUGUUUGCAAGUAUUUCCAACAUUCACAUAACGCUGAACUUAGGAUCUCUUAUUAGUUAGAACAGGACAUCCAUUUCAUAAUUUUCACAUCAUAUGUGUUAACUAGGAAUUUUCCAUAGCUUCUGUUGUAGUUUUGUAUAAUUGCAAUGUUUACUCAUUUGUCAGUGAGACAUGUCAUAUAUAUCUACAGAUAAUAUGGUUUUGCUUUAUAGUUGUACAGAGAACAAUGUAUAACUGAUAAGAACAUUUAACAAAUUAUCAAAACAGGGCCUCAAAGGAAUGUCUCACAAGUAUGGAAAAUGACACUGAAUAAAAGAAUCAGGUUAACUGCACCAUUUCAAUUAUUUUGACAAGUCUUAUACCAGAUAUGUUCUGAGUUGCAUGUUCUUGCUGAUAGAUCAGUAUUAUACCAUAAUUUGACUUUAUGAGCCCAAUGUUACUGAGUGCAGCAAUGUUUGAGGUGUUCAUGUAUGUACAUUACAUUUGCAAGGAAUGAAAUUUUAAAAAAAAUCCUACUUUUUGUUACCAAUUGAAAUGUUACAAACAGCUGCUUUAUUAGCUGGCAUUGCAAAAAGAAAAAAACUAAAAUACAACUAAAUACAGUUCUGGGGUAGAGUCGCCAACAAACUCCCAGGCACUGGAACUAAUACAGGAAAAACUAGCACUUGAAGAACUGUUGCCUACUACAAAGCCUAACUCCUAACCCAGUCUUCCCCAAUGGCACUUUGACAUGAGCUUAAGUGUUGGACUGUAACCAGUUGGCAUGUGACAUGGCCAGCUUUCAUUGGCAGGAACUAUCUGCAGUGGUUCCUGGUUUGGCUUAAAUAGUCACCCUUCAAAAAGGGAUGUGCUGCUCCUUGUGUCUCAUGACCAGAUGGAAGUGUGAUUUUUUGGUGCAGCCAGUGACCUCAUGCUGUUGCCAGGCUCCUGGCUAUAUGUGUACAAGAGGACACACACCACAUAUAUAAUUAAGGGGAGGAUGGCCAAUGAUCACUUCAGUGCAGAUGCGCAUAACACUCGAACUCAUAAGGGAAUCAGUAAACUCCCACAAGUAACGAGAAUAACAGGUAAUGAUAUCAUUUUCAAUACAUUUUGGUAUUGUGGUACUAUGUGCAUGUCAGGUCCUUUGUCCAAAGUAAUUUUUCCUAUACAAGUCAAUUAUUUGAGGUUCAAGCUGCUGAAGCAAUCUCAGAAUAUUACCCUCACUGCUCAAUGUGCAUAUUAAGGAAAGCUGCCAUUAAAACUCGCAAAACUAAAAGACAUGAUGACAUUGGCAGAGUAGUACAUACCACAUAAUGACAAGCAGUAUUAUAAAGCACUGAAGUGUACAUUACGUGAGGGAAGUGCAGACUGUACUGACUAUCUUACAGAAAAGAAAGAUAACACUUCAAUAUUGAACAUUCAUCAUGCAAUGGUGGUUUUGUUGUCCUGCAGUUGUGGGCUCCAGCAGAGGAGUCUUCCAAAAUGGAGUCUGAUAUGGACAUGCAUAUAAAACAGCUAUGUAUGAUUGAAUUCCUCACUGCCGAAGAAAUCACACCAACUGAAAUCCACUGACACUUGCUAAAGGUGUAUGGAGACAAUGCAAUAGACGUGAACACUGUGAGGCGAUGGGUUGCAGCUUUUUCGAGGUAGUGGAAAUGGUUUGCAUGGCAAGCCAAGGCCUGGUCGACCCUGUACAGCUAUCAUCCCUUGCAAUGAAGAACAUCAUGAUUAACUCAUCCAUGCCGAUUGGCAGCUAAUGACCAGAGAAUUGUGUAGAAAGCUGAAUGUCGGCUGUAAUGCCUUGGAAACAGUGCUGGAACAUCUUGGUUAUUGCAAGAUCUGUGAACAUACGUCCUGCUGGAUCAAUACGAAGCUCGAGGUGACAGUUUUCUGAAUAGCGUCGACACCAGAGAUGAGACAUGGCAUCACCACUUCAAGCCAGAAUCGAAAUGACAGUCCCUUGAAUGGCGACAUGUGAAUUCUCCAUCAAAGAAGAAAUUCGAGUCACAGCCAUCCGCAGGCAAAGUGAUGUUCACAGUCUUCUGUAAUAGCCAGGAUGUGGUUCUUUUGGAUGUCCUGGAUCCUGGAGAAACUUUCAAUUCAGCAUGCUACAGGAUGACACUGACUAAGCUGAAAGCCUGAAUUUCCAGGGUGAGGUCAGAGAAGAAGACCGCUUUCAACUGCAACAUCAUAACAUCAGACCCCACACCAGUUUUGCAACCACACAACUCACUGCAAAAUUGGCUGGACUGUCUUACCACCUGUACCAUACAGUCUGGAUUUAGCACCUUCAGACUUCCAUUUCUUUGGGCCUCUAAAAGAUGGACUACAUGGUGAACAUUUUCAAGACUCAGAUGCUGUUGUCAAAGCUGUAAGGAAGUGGUAAGCCUCAGCUGGUUCUAAUUUUUAGAAGUGUGGCAUGGUGGCAUGGUGGUGUCUAUGUGGAAAAAUGACAGUUACUUGGGGAAUAACCCCUUGCAAGUGUUCUAAUGUGCUGAGGCCAAAGUACCUCAAAUGCAAGGAAAUACAUAUGUAACAGGUCAGACAUCAACUGAUAACACAUGGAACCAGAUUUAGACGUUGUUCUCAGUAUUGCCAACAGUCUGGCAACAUUGCAUUGGUGUUUGUGAAUUGUGAUUUUUAGGUUUUCAACACAUUGUAUGUUAUGUUAUCGAUUAUGAAAUGUUUGCUGUGUUAUAUAUGUUUCAUAAGAGAUCUUGUAUGCUUUGUGCUCAGCAGGAACAGUCAUGAGUGCUCCAAGUAUAGUGUAAAAUUAUAUCCAUUGAGCUACUGUAGAAAAAGGUUACAUACACAGAAACGAGAAUCUGAGUAAAAAAUAGGUUAUUUUGAGAUGCACACAUAUAGUAAAAGUGAAACACUGUGGUAUAUAAUUGACCUCAUUAAUGCAAAUAGACAAGAGACUAUCCUGUGGGUUUGCAAAAUUACUAGAAUUUAUGUAAUUCCAGAUUGACUUUGCAAUCACAGCUUGACUAUCUUUUAUUCUAAUAUUUUUGGAUGCUAGAUUCUUCACCCUAUAAAGAAAAUGCUAUUGUUGCAGAGUUCAGUGAGAGCACAAAGAAUGUGAUCCACUAAUUAAGUAGUUAUUAUAUAUGUCAUUUUUGGUCCUGCAAACAUGACCAAGAGGACACAUGCCACUUUUAUAAUUAAGACAAGGUCAGCCAAUGAUCACUUCAGUGCAGAUGCAUGCUGCACUUGAAAUCUUAAGGGAAUUGGUGAACUCCCACAAGUAAUGAGGAUAACAAGCAAGGGGCACUGCAUCGGUAGUGUGUGUUUAAGUUAACAAUUUACAUCUGACGCAGAUAUGCUAGGGCAGUCCGUGCAGUUACAAUGACCACUGUGUCUGGAUGGUGCAGUGGUCAGCACAUCUGCUUAGUAAGCAGGAGACCUGGGUUUGAAUCCCAAUCCAGCAGAAAUUUUCAACUUUCCACAUUGAUUUAAAUCAGCGACCACUGACAGCUAAUGUUAUCAAUUCCUUUGUGUCUUAAGUGUGAUACAUGGCUAUUUUUUGAGAAUUAUCUAUCAGAAAAGAAUGGUUUGAGAGCCAAUAUGUUUAUCAUUACUAUCUAGUCUUUGAAGAUAUAAUAUUUUGGGGUAUAUGUUCAUUUUAAUAUAAGGUGCAAUUUGAGAGUCAUUCAUAUAGUGUCCUUGUAGUGUAAGGUUCUUCUUUUGCACAGUAAUUAGUGCUUUUCUGUUGUGAGAGUAAUUUAUAAUGUUUAUAAGUUUGUCAGUGAGGAGAGCUGCUUACAGGAAUUUACUGAACCCUUUGUCAUGUAUGUUUUGCUAAUGGCACAUUUAUUUCUGUUUAAGGUAAUGAUACCAUUUGCAAUACAUUUCAGUGUUGUCAUACUAUAUGCAUGUCAGAUCCUUUGUUAAAAGUAACUUUUCCCAUAUGAGUAAAUUAUUUGAGGUAGGUAUCUUGUGUGAGUCAUUUGAUGUUAGCAGUUCCUGUAACAUGUAAAGUGAAAUACAUU